rnacentral:rRNA from 1 species
UAGGGAAUCUUCGGCAAUGGACGGAAGUCUGACCGAGCAACGCCGCGUGCGUGAAGAAGGUUUUCGGAUCGUAAAGCUCUGUUGUUAGAGAAGAACGUUGGUAGGAGUGGAAAAUCUACCAAGUGACGGUAACUAACCAGAAAGGGACGGCUAACUACGUGCCAGCAGCCGCGGUAAUACGUAGGUCCCGAGCGUUGUCCGGAUUUAUUGGGCGUAAAGCGAGCGCAGGCGGUUCUUUAAGUCUGAAGUUAAAGGCAGUGGCUUAACCAUUAUACGCUUUGGAAACUGGAGGACUUGAGUGCAGGAGGGGAGAGUGUAAUUCCAUGUGUAGCGGUGAAAUGCGUAAAUAUAUGAAGGAACACCGGUGGCGAAAGCGGCUCUCUGGUCUGUAACUGACGCUGAGGCUCGAAAGCGUGGGGAGCAAACAGG